GACGAACGCUGGCGGCGUGCUUAACACAUGCAAGUCGAGCGGUAAGGCCCUUUCGGGGGUACACGAGCGGCGAACGGGUGAGUAACACGUGGGUGACCUGCCCUUAGCUCUGGGAUAAGCCUGGGAAACUGGGUCUAAUACCGGAUAUGACUCCAUGACGCAUGUUGUGGGGUGAAAGCCUUGUGCGGCUAGGGAUGGGCCCGCGGCCUAUCAGCUUGUUGGUGGGGUGANGGCCUACCAAGGCGACGACGGGUAGCCGGCCUGAGAGGGCGACCGGCCACACUGGGACUGAGACACGGCCCAGACUCCUACGGGAGGCAGCAGUGGGGAAUCUUGCGCAAUGGGCGAAAGCCUGACGCAGCGACGCCGCGUGAGGGAUGACGGCC
rnacentral:rRNA from 1 species